UUCGCUUCGGGAGGGGCCUGCGUCCCAUCAGCUAGUUGGUAGGGUAAAAGCCUACCAAGGCGAUGACGGGUAGGGGACCUGAGAGGGUGACCCCCCACAAUGGAACUGAAACACGGUCCAUACACCUACGGGUGGCAGCAGUAGGGAAUAUUGGUUAAUCUGGAAAGCCUGAACCAGCAACGCCGCGUGUGCGAUGACGGCCUUCGGGUUGUAAAGCACUUUUUGAGGGGAUGAGGAAGGACAGUACCCUCAGAAUAAGUCUCGGCUAACUACGUGCCAGCAGCCGCGGUAACACGUAGGAGACUAGCGUUAUUCGGAUUUACUGGGCGUAAAGCGCGUGCAGGCGGUUCGGUAAGUUGGAUGUGAAAGCUCCUGGCUUAACUGGGAGAGGUCGUUCAAUACUGCCGGACUUGAGAGUGGUAGAGGGAGUUGGAAUUCCGGGUGUAGUGGUAAAAUGCGUAGAUAUCCGGAAGAACACCAGUGGCGAAAGCGGACUCCUGGACCAUUUCUGACGCUCAGACGCGAAAGCUAGGGGAGCGAACGGGAUUAGAGACCCCGGUAGUCCUAGCUGUAAACGAUGUAGACUUGGCGUUGGAGGGGUUAAAUCCUUCAGUGCCGAAGCAAACGCGAUAAGUCUACCGCCUGGGGACUACGGCCGCAAGGUUAAAACUCAAAGGAAUUGACGGGGCCCCGCACAAGCAGCGGAGCGUGUGGUUUAAUUCGAUGAUACACGAAGAACCUUACCAGGGUUUGACAUGCUAGUGGUAGGGAUCCGAAAGGUGACCGACCCCUCGGGGAGCUAGCACAGGUGCUGCAUGGCUGUCGUCAGCUCGUGUCGUGAGAUGUUCGGUUAAGUCCGCUAACGAGCGCAACCCUCGUCGUGUGUUACAAGUGUCACGCGAGACCGCCGGUGUCAAGCCGGAGGAAGGUGAGGAUGACGUCAAGUCAGCAUGGCCUUUAUGUCCUGGGCUACACACACGCUACAAUGGCCGGUACAAUAGGUUGCGAAGCCGCGAGGCGGAGCCAAUCCUCAAAGCCGGCCUCAGUUCAGAUUGCAGGCUGCAACCCGCCUGCAUGAAGAUGGAGUUGCUAGUAACCGCAGGUCAGC
rnacentral:rRNA from 1 species